UACGUAGGGUGCGAGCGUAAUCGGAAUUACUGGGCGUAAAGCGUGCGCAGGCGGUUCGUGAUGUCUGAUGUGAAAGCCCCGGGCUCAACCUGGGAACUGCAUUGGAAACUAGCGGGCUGGAGUGUGGCAGAGGGGGGGUGGAAUUCCACGUGUAGCAGGUGAAAUGCGUAGAGAUGUGGAGGAACACCGAUGGCGAAGGCAGCCCCCUGGGCUAACACUGACGCUCAUGCACGAAAGCGUGGGGGAGCAAACAGGG
rnacentral:rRNA from 1 species